rnacentral:rRNA from 1 species
UACGUAGGUGGCAAGCGUUGUCCGGAAUCACUGGGCGUAAAGCGCGCGCAGGCGGCGAUCUACGUCUGGGGUGAAAGCCCGGAGCUCAACUCCGGGACUGCCUUGGAUACGGGAUCGCUUGAGGAUUGGAGAGGCAAGGGGAAUUCCACGUGUAGCGGUGAAAUGCGUAGAUAUCUGGAGGAACACCGGUGGCGAAGGCGACAUCCUGGACCGGUAUUGACGCUGAGGCGCGAAAGCCAGGGGAGCAAACGGG